rnacentral:rRNA from 1 species
GAUGAACGCUGGCGGCGUGCCUAAUACAUGCAAGUCGAGCGAACGGACGAGAAGCUUGCUUCUCUGAUGUUAGCGGCGGACGGGUGAGUAACACGUGGAUAACCUACCUAUAAGACUGGGAUAACUUCGGGAAACCGGAGCUAAUACCGGAGAAUAUUUUGAACCGCAUGGUUCAAAAGUGAAAGACGGUCUUGCUGUCACUUAUAGAUGGAUCCGCGCUGCAUUAGCUAGUUGGUAAGGUAACGGCUUACCAAGGCAACGAUGCAUAGCCGACCUGAGAGGGUGAUCGGCCACACUGGAACUGAGACACGGUCCAGACUCCUACGGGAGGCAGCAGUAGGGAAUCUUCCGCAAUGGGCGAAAGACUGACGGAGCAACGCCGCGUGAGUGAUGAAGGUCUUCGGAUCGUAAAACUCUGUUAUUAGGGAAGAACAUAUGUGUAAGUAACUGUGCACAUCUUGACGGUACCUAAUCAGAAAGCCACGGCUAACUACGUG